AUACGUAGGGUGCGAGCGUUGUCCGGAAUUACUGGGCGUAAAGAGCUCGUAGGUGGUUUGUCGCGUCGUCUGUGAAAUUCCGGGGCUUAACUCCGGGCGUGCAGGCGAUACGGGCAUAACUUGAGUACUGUAGGGGAGACUGGAAUUCCUGGUGUAGCGGUGAAAUGAGCAGAUAUCAGGUGGAACACCGGUGGCGAAGGGGGGUCUCUGGGCAGUAACUGACGCUGAGGAGCGAAAGCAUGGGUAGCGAACAGGAUUAGAUACCCUGGUAGUCCAUGCCGUAAACGGUGGGCGCUAGGUGUAGGGGUCUUCCACGACUUCUGUGCCGUAGCUAACGCAUUAAGCGCCCCGCCUGGGGAGUACGGCCGCAAGGCUAAAACUCAAAGGAAUUGACGGGG
rnacentral:rRNA from 1 species